rnacentral:rRNA from 1 species
GGUUAAGCGACUAAGCGUACACGGUGGAUGCCCUGGCAGUCAGAGGCGAUGAAGGACGUGCUAAUCUGCGAUAAGCGUCGGUGAGGUGAUAUGAACCGUUAUAACCGGCGAUUUCCGAAUGGGGAAACCCAGUGUGUUUCGACACACUAUCAUUAACUGAAUCCAUAGGUUAAUGAGGCGAACCGGGGGAACUGAAACAUCUAAGUACCCCGAGGAAAAGAAAUCAACCGAGAUUCCCCCAGUAGCGGCGAGCGAACGGGGAGCAGCCCAGAGCCUGAAUCAGUGUGUGUGUUAGUGGAAGCGUCUGGAAAGGCGCGCGAUACAGGGUGACAGCCCCGUACACAAAAAUGCACAUACUGUGAGCUCGAUGAGUAGGGCGGGACACGUGGUAUCCUGUCUGAAUAUGGGGGGACCAUCCUCCAAGGCUAAAUACUCCUGACUGACCGAUAGUGAACCAGUACCGUGAGGGAAAGGCGAAAAGAACCCCGGCGAGGGGAGUGAAAAAGAACCUGAAACCGUGUACGUACAAGCAGUGGGAGCCUCUUAAUGGGGUGACUGCGUACCUUUUGUAUAAUGGGUCAGCGACUUAUAUUCUGUAGCAAGGUUAACCGAAUAGGGGAGCCGAAGGGAAACCGAGUCUUAACUGGGCGUUAAGUUGCAGGGUAUAGACCCGAAACCCGGUGAUCUAGCCAUGGGCAGGUUGAAGGUUGGGUAACACUAACUGGAGGACCGAACCGACUAAUGUUGAAAAAUUAGCGGAUGACUUGUGGCUGGGGGUGAAAGGCCAAUCAAACCGGGAGAUAGCUGGUUCUCCCCGAAAGCUAUUUAGGUAGCGCCUCGUGAAUUCAUCUCCGGGGGUAGAGCACUGUUUCGGCAAGGGGGUCAUCCCGACUUACCAACCCGAUGCAAACUGCGAAUACCGGAGAAUGUUAUCACGGGAGACACACGGCGGGUGCUAACGUCCGUCGUGAAGAGGGAAACAACCCAGACCGCCAGCUAAGGUCCCAAAGUCAUGGUUAAGUGGGAAACGAUGUGGGAAGGCCCAGACAGCCAGGAUGUUGGCUUAGAAGCAGCCAUCAUUUAAAGAAAGCGUAAUAGCUCACUGGUCGAGUCGGCCUGCGCGGAAGAUGUAACGGGGCUAAACCAUGCACCGAAGCUGCGGCAGCGACACUGUGUGUUGUUGGGUAGGGGAGCGUUCUGUAAGCCUGUGAAGGUGUGCUGUGAGGCAUGCUGGAGGUAUCAGAAGUGCGAAUGCUGACAUAAGUAACGAUAAAGCGGGUGAAAAGCCCGCUCGCCGGAAGACCAAGGGUUCCUGUCCAACGUUAAUCGGGGCAGGGUGAGUCGACCCCUAAGGCGAGGCCGAAAGGCGUAGUCGAUGGGAAACAGGUUAAUAUUCCUGUACUUGGUGUUACUGCGAAGGGGGGACGGAGAAGGCUAUGUUGGCCGGGCGACGGUUGUCCCGGUUUAAGCGUGUAGGCUGGUUUUCCAGGCAAAUCCGGAAAACUAAGGCUGAGGCGUGAUGACGAGGCACUACGGUGCUGAAGCAACAAAUGCCCUGCUUCCAGGAAAAGCCUCUAAGCAUCAGGUAACAUCAAAUCGUACCCCAAACCGACACAGGUGGUCAGGUAGAGAAUACCAAGGCGCUUGAGAGAACUCGGGUGAAGGAACUAGGCAAAAUGGUGCCGUAACUUCGGGAGAAGGCACGCUGAUAUGUAGGUGAAGUCCCUCGCGGAUGGAGCUGAAAUCAGUCGAAGAUACCAGCUGGCUGCAACUGUUUAUUAAAAACACAGCACUGUGCAAACACGAAAGUGGACGUAUACGGUGUGACGCCUGCCCGGUGCCGGAAGGUUAAUUGAUGGGGUUAGCGGUAACGCGAAGCUCUUGAUCGAAGCCCCGGUAAACGGCGGCCGUAACUAUAACGGUCCUAAGGUAGCGAAAUUCCUUGUCGGGUAAGUUCCGACCUGCACGAAUGGCGUAAUGAUGGCCAGGCUGUCUCCACCCGAGACUCAGUGAAAUUGAACUCGCUGUGAAGAUGCAGUGUACCCGCGGCAAGACGGAAAGACCCCGUGAACCUUUACUAUAGCUUGACACUGAACAUUGAGCCUUGAUGUGUAGGAUAGGUGGGAGGCUUUGAAGUGUGGACGCCAGUCUGCAUGGAGCCGGCCUUGAAAUACCACCCUUUAAUGUUUGAUGUUCUAACGUUGGCCCCUGAUCGGGGUUGCGGACAGUGUCUGGUGGGUAGUUUGACUGGGGCGGUCUCCUCCUAAAGAGUAACGGAGGAGCACGAAGGUUGGCUAAUCCUGGUCGGACAUCAGGAGGUUAGUGCAAUGGCAUAAGCCAGCUUGACUGCGAGCGUGACGGCGCGAGCAGGUGCGAAAGCAGGUCAUAGUGAUCCGGUGGUUCUGAAUGGAAGGGCCAUCGCUCAACGGAUAAAAGGUACUCCGGGGAUAACAGGCUGAUACCGCCCAAGAGUUCAUAUCGACGGCGGUGUUUGGCACCUCGAUGUCGGCUCAUCACAUCCUGGGGCUGAAGUAGGUCCCAAGGGUAUGGCUGUUCGCCAUUUAAAGUGGUACGCGAGCUGGGUUUAGAACGUCGUGAGACAGUUCGGUCCCUAUCUGCCGUGGGCGCUGGAGAACUGAGGGGGGCUGCUCCUAGUACGAGAGGACCGGAGUGGACGCAUCACUGGUGUUCGGGUUGUCAUGCCAAUGGCACUGCCCGGUAGCUAAAUGCGGAAGAGAUAAGUGCUGAAAGCAUCUAAGCACGAAACUUGCCCCGAGAUGAGUUCUCCCUGACUCCUUGAGGGUCCUGAAGGAACGUUGAAGACGACGACGUUGAUAGGCCGGGUGUGUAAGCGCAGCGAUGCGUUGAGCUAACCGGUACUAAUGAACCGUGAGGCUUAACCUU